AAGGACCCUGCUUCCAGCCCUCCCCACUGCCAGGGAACCUGGAUGUGUGGGGGUGUGCUUGGAGCCCGGUAGUCAGGCAUUUUGCUCUCACGGCGUCUCUCCCAGCCUCACCAGCCCCAGCACCAGCCCAAGACACCCAUAGUUCCUUCAGCCCACCCUGCUAUAGAUCCGGCCCCGGAAAGCCAGCCCCAGGGCCAUGUCCUGGACACAUCGGUCCAGUUUGCAGAAGGCCAGCCUGUUCUUGGAUCCAGUUCACUCAGGGACAUGCUGAGCUAGCAUGCUGAGCCAGGAGUGCUGGGAGAGAUGAGCAAAGCCCAAAGUCCAUCCUAGCCCUGGGCCUGGAGAUUCCUGCUAACCACUCAGCGGGCUCCCUCCCCACCGCUAGGCAGCUUCAACAUACCUGCUGCCUUCAGACUAUGCUCAAAAGGUGGUCACCACCUUCCCAGAGCCACUGUUCCUCAUCUGGGGCACAGAGAAGAGGAAAGGGAAAGGUGUGGGCAGAGAGAGCCUGAGGCCUCAGGCAAGUCCCUCCCCAUCUCUGAGCCUCCUGUUCCUCCCCUGCAGAAUGAGUGCCUGACCCACGACGGUUAGGGUAGAGACUCAGGGCAAUGUUGCCCAUGGAAGGGCACUAAGCAUUCAGUCUCUGCGUACCUACAGUGGGCUUGCCCUCGGCCAAGGCUGGCUGCUAGACUCGGAGUGUGCGGAUCACAGGCUGGCCUAGGCAGUGCCCCGGGGCUGAUGACGAUCCCGGGUGACUAGGGCAGCCCCAACUUGGGACACAGAGGGGCUCCUGCAGGAAGAAGUCAGGCAGAGGUAGGAACUGGAAUCAUGGGGCAGAGGGCACAUCCUCUGCAGUCUCAGGCGGGGGUGGGGGAUGUUUCUAGCAGUUGCCAUCAGGACUGGCCCCCAGCAGGGCAGAGUUGGAGAUGUUUUCUAGAGAGGGAGGCUGCCACGCUGCGGGGAGGGGCAAAGAGCAAAAAGCCCCUCUUGCAUGGGGUUCUUUUGCAUGGUUCUCCGUGGUGCUUUCUGUCAGUGCUGACCCCUCCCAGCUGCUGCACAACUUCCUCUGUGCAGAUGACCACUGGCCAACUCGAUGUCCGGAAUCUAACCCACAGAGUGACAUCUGCUUGGAAUCCACACAUCUGUCGUCACCCUCUGCCCCACCCCCCACCAGGAGACAGGCUGGAUUCCACAGAGGAAGGUUAAGUGCUCCACCCAAGGUCACACAGUGAGCCAGCAGCCCCUGCACAGACCAGCGACCCCCUGCCAGAGCGGGGACCCCUGACUUCUGUUCACUUGACCUGGAACACUUCUGUUCGUUCAGAUCAGUAAGAAUUCAGGAGGCUUCCCAUCGAUUUCAUGUCCAGGUACACCGUGACCAGCUCGCCAACGGCCAAGCUCUCUGCGCCUCACACCAACCUGACUGGCGCUCCGACUCCGCGGUCUGUCUCAGGCACCAUACCCUCCUUGCCUUGGCCAUGUGACCCCUGCCCCUCGGGAUCCAGUGAUCCCCAUUGCAUUUCGUUUUCCCAGCUCGCUGCCAGUCCUGUAUGUAAUUUCUGGCCUCGAGAAGAUGCUGGGGUUUGCUCACAAUCAUGGUGAAAGGCAUGUCCUCUGGACCCGAGGUGGGGGAGUGGGUUUUAAAGGAUAAACCAACUGUGACACUCCCAUGUCCCUAAGCCUUUGGACCCUCCCUCCAUCAAAGCAAGGCAGUGCAGGCCGCCUUCCGGGCCAUGUCUCAGCCAACCGAGUGACCAAAUAGUUCGAGCCCCCUCUCAUCCCAAGUUGUACCAUUAAACCUCCAAUCUCU